rnacentral:rRNA from 1 species
UGCGCAGGCGGUUGGCCGUGUCCUGUGUGAAAGCCCGGGCUUAACCUGGGAACUGCAUGGGAAACUGGCUGGCUUGAGUGUGGCAGAGGGGGGUGGAAUUCCGCGUGUAGCAGUGAAAUGCGUAGAGAUGCGGAGGAACACCGAUGGCGAAGGCAGCCCCCUGGGCUGACACUGACGCUCAGGACAAAGACGUGGGGAGGCAAACA